CCUAGCAGCAGUGUUCUGGAAUCUUAUAUGAGGGACAAACUCUCAGAACCCAGCAGCAGUGUUCUGGAAUUCUAUGUGAGGG
rnacentral:miRNA from 10 species